rnacentral:lncRNA from 1 species
GGAGUCAGGCUGCUUGUGGCAAGAGGCCCUGGCUUAAUCUUCACAGGUGGAAGAGACCUGAGGGCUCAUCUCACCUAACCCCAAAUUUUCUAGACAACGUUCUGCUUGAGUUUCAGGAGGUGGAUCUGGAGCCAGCAGCCCUCCUGUGAGAACACUGGCCUGAGCCCCUCAAGCCGCCCCUCGUCUCUGAAUGGGGGUCAUUUUGGCCCUUGGUGGGCAGCUUCUUGGGAGAUGGUUUGGAAAUGGAGAUACUUUGUUGAAUAAACGAUUAUACUACAACUUCUGCUAUCUUCAGACAUACAUGGAAAUGCACCGCACAGAUCACACUGAUGUGGACACGCCCACCUCCUGCCAGCUGCUCGUGGUCAUGAUGUGGAUGAGGAGCUGAGUCACGAUGUGGACGAGGAGCUGAGUCGCGAUGUGGACGAGGAGCUGAGUCGCGAUGUGGACGAGGAGCUGAGUCCCGAUGUGGACGAGGAGCUGAGUCGCGAUGUGGAUGAGGAGCUGAGUCUUCUUUUACCCCUUUAAAGGGGGAAUGUGGGUUUCAGGAACACGUCAGCUUGGAGUCAUUUC